GCGAGGCGGAGCAGGACGGGGGCAGCCCCUCGCCGUCCUCCGGCGGCUGCUUCCUCCGCAGGCGCCAGGGGCUGAAGGGUUGGCCGAUCUUGUGCGGCAUGCUUUAAACCAGCUUCGCCAGGGGAUGGGGCCACAGGAAGACAUGAGGACACCUCCCAACCAAGACAGGUGACAUACACAAGGAGUACCCAGGGACUGGGACUCCCCUACCAAGAUUCAGGACGGACUUGGGAAAAACUCCGCCAAGCCUAGGGUCAGGGAAGACUGGGUUAGUGAACUUCUGGAGGGGUUGGAAGUGUUCAAAUCAGCAGGUCCAGAUGCUCUCCACCCCAGUGUUGAGGGAAUUGGCAGGGGUUAUCGCGGCGCCCCUGGCACGGCUUUAUGAGCACUUGUGGUGCUCUGGCCAGGUGCCGGAUGACUGGAAGAGGGCCAAUGUGGUCCCCAUCUUUAAAAAAGGGAAGAGGGAGGACCCGGGCAACUAUAGGCCCGUUAGUCUUACUUCAAUCCUGGGGAAUCUCUUUGAGAAGAUUAUCAAGGAGCACAUCUGUGAUGGGCCAGCAGCGGGGAUGAUGCUCAAGGGCAACCAGCAUGGUUUCAUUAGGGGCAGGUCCUGUCAGACGAACUUGACUGCCUUCUACGAUCAGGUCACAAAAUCCCUGGAUGCAGGUGUCGCGGUGGAUGUAGUCUUUCUGGACUUCAAGAAGGCCUUUGACACUGUCUCCCACCCCAUUCUUAUUAAAAAGCUAGGUGACUGUGGCAUUGAUGCCUACACAGUCAGAUGAAUUGCAAAUUGGCUGAGGGUGGUGGUGGUGGUGGUCAUUUUUGACCUGGAGGGAAGUGGGCAGUGGGGUCCCCCAGGGCUCAGUACUUGGGCCCGCACUGUUCAAUUUCUUUAUUAGAGACUUGGGUGAUGGGGUGAAGAGCAGCCUGUUUAAAUUCACAGACGACACCAAGAUUUGGGGUAAGGUGGGCACAUGAGAAGGGAAGGACAGAUUACAGCAGGACCUGGACAGGUUACAGGGGUGGGCAAAUGAAAAUAGGAUGGGAUCCAAUACUGACAAGUACAGGGUGCUGCACUUGGGCAGUAGGAACCAGCAGCAUACCUAUAGGUUGGGGAACUCCCUUCUCAAAAGCAUGGUGGCAGAAAGAGAUCUUGGAGUCAUUACUGACUCCAAGAUGAACAUGGGCCACCAAUGUGAGAACACAGUCAGUAGGGCUAACCGUACCUUGUCCUGAAUCCACAGAUGCAUCAUAAGCAGGGCCAAGGAGGUGAUCCUCCCGUUAUAUGCAACAGUGGUCAAGCUGUAGCUGGAGUACUGCAUCCAGUUCUGGGCGCCGCACUUCAGCAGGGAUGUGGACAGCAUUGAGAGGGUCCAAAGGAGGGCCACUUGCAUGAUCCAGGGACAGCAGGGCAGACCCUAUGAAGAGAGGCUACGGGACCUUAACUUGUUCAGCCUUUGCAAGAGAAGGCUGAGGGGGGACCUGGUGGCCAUGUAUAAACUUACUAGGGGGGACCAGCAGGAUUUGGGAGAGAUCUUGUUCUCCCAAGUGCCUCCUGGAGUAACAAGGAAUAAUGGCCAUAAGUUGCUAGAGAGUAGGUUUAGACUAGACAUUAGAAGGCGCUACUUCACGGUCAGGGUGGCUAGGAUAUGGAACCAACUUCCAAGGGAAGUGGUGAUGGCUCCUACCCUGGGGGUCUUUAAGAGGAGGCUCGACGUUUACCUGGCUGGGGUCAUUAGAGCCCAGUUUUCUCUCCUGCCCAGGGCAGGGGGUCAGACUAGAAGAUCUACAAGGUCCCUUCUGACCCUACAUCUAUGAAUCUAUGAAUCUAUGUGCAGCAGGGGCAUGCCUCGGGCAGAGCAGCGGCAUGGGGGAGGCUGGCCCAGAGGCACCUCCCUGGAGAGAGACCCCUUGUGGGGAGGGAAGGGGCAUGGCCAACCCAUCACUCCAGUUGUCUGGGAGCUCCAUAUACCCUGAUCCUGGGUGUGUCAGUGCAGCAAAGUGGUUGGCCUGCAGGGAGCAGGGUCUGGAGCUGUGGCACCAGGUGCUGCCAGCACCCUGGCCUGUCCUGGCCUGCCCUGGGAAGGGGGCAAAGGAGGCAGAGUGCCUGCAGCCAGCACCCCAUGGGUGCACCUCAAGGCCACACCUCUGAGGACCUGGAGGUGCCAGACACGGCACCACCAGGGGAUUCUGGCCAUGCCCCCCAGGCAACCAGAGGGGGAGCCACCUGCCCCAGAGCAGCACCAGCCGCCAUCAGCCAGAGACAAGCUGCUGUGGCUUCUGUGGUUGCUGCCACCCUCAGAACUGUGCAGGAAUGGGCCAAGGCCAGGGUGCUGGGCACUUGCCCCUGGGCUCUGCCCCCUGCCCCCCCCCCCCCCCUGCCAGGAUCAAAAGACUAAGACUGAUGUAAAUAGUUUGCACUUUGGGAAGUGAGCUUUUUAUUGGUGGUGGGUGGGAAGAGUGGUGAAGGGGCACUAUGUGUUGGUGA